rnacentral:rRNA from 1 species
UACGUAGGAGACGAGCGUUGUCCGGAGUUACUGGGCGUAAAGGGUGCGCAGGCGGCCUGGCGCGUCGCGAGUGAAAUCUCCUGGCUCAACUGGGAGGGUGGUCGCGAGACGGCUGGGCUUGAGGCUCGGUGAGGGGCGUGGAAUUCCGGGUGGAGCGGUGAAAUGCGUAGAGAUCCGGAGGAACACCGACGGCGUAGGCAGGUCUCUGGGCAUUAACUGACGCUGAGGAGCGAAAGCAUGGGGAAGCGAACAGG